GGCACGGGAGCUUGCUCCUGGUGGCGAGUGGCGAACGGGUGAGUAAUGCAUCGGGACGUACCCAGUAGUGGGGGAUAGUCCGGCGAAAGCCGGAUUAAUACCGCAUAUUUCCUGAGGGAGAAAGCGGGGGACCUUCGGGCCUCGCGCUACUGGAGCGGCUGAUGUCGGAUUAGCUAGUUGGUGAGGUAAUGGCUCACCAAGGCAAAGACGGGUAGCUGGUCUGAGAGGAUGAUCAGCCACACUGGAACUGAGACACGGUCCAGACUCCUACGGGAGGCAGCAGUGGGGAAUAUUGCGCAAUGGGCGAAAGCCUGACGCAGCCACGCCGCGUGAGCGAUGAAGGUCUUCGGAUCGUAAAGCUCUGUGGGGGGAGAAGAAGAAAGCCGGUGAAGAGCCGGCCCUGACGGUAUCCCCUUAGCAAGCACCGGCUAACUCCGUG
rnacentral:rRNA from 1 species